rnacentral:rRNA from 1 species
AUUGAACGCUGGCGGCAUGCUUUACACAUGCAAGUCGAACGGUAACAGGCCGCAAGGUGCUGACGAGUGGCGAACGGGUGAGUAAUGCAUCGGAACGUGCCCAGUCGUGGGGGAUAACGCAGCGAAAGCUGUGCUAAUACCGCAUACGAUCUAUGGAUGAAAGCGGGGGACCGUAAGGCCUCGCGCGAUUGGAGCGGCCGAUGUCAGAUUAGGUAGUUGGUGGGGUAAAGGCUCACCAAGCCAACGAUCUGUAGCUGGUCUGAGAGGACGACCAGCCACACUGGGACUGAGACACGGCCCAGACUCCUACGGGAGGCAGCAGUGGGGAAUUUUGGACAAUGGGCGCAAGCCUGAUCCAGCAAUGCCGCGUGCAGGAAGAAGGCCUUCGGGUUGUAAACUGCUUUUGUACGGAACGAAACGGUCUGGGUUAAUACCCUGGGCUAAUGACGGUACCGUAAGAAUAAGCACCGGCUAACUACGUGCCAGCCGCCGCAGUAACAC